GGGCCGAGUUGGGCCGGGACCGUCCGCCGCGGCUCUGAUGCUGGGUCGGCCGUGCGGGCCGGGACAGGACAGUGCAGAGGAGUGGGUCCUCCGUUGCGGCCGUGUGAGGGGAACUCUGGUGGCGUCUGUGGGUCCUCCUGUCUACGGAGUCCGCAGCUCCUGUUGCAGGGCCUUGCUGCUGCCAUCUGAUGCUGCAGUCACCAGAGGACAAACCUGAUGUGGGACUUGAACCUCCAAAACUGUGAGCAGAAAAAGAAGGGGGCAUUUGGCAUGGUGGUUUUUCUGCAUUCCUGUUGAGAUCGUGUACACAACAGGACUGCCAAGUGAGAAGAAAAGGCACAGGCAGAAAAGCUGCUUUUGCAAACAGUGUGUGUGUGUGUGCGCCUGCGAACGUGUGUGUUUUAAACAACUAUUCUAGUUACUCUGACAAAUAAAACGCUUUGGU